GGGCCACUUAGGAUUUUUAUUUUGUGUAUUUCGGUGUGGGCCUGUCCAACCGAUUAGUUUUCUAGAUGCCUAUAUAAGGAGGCUAGUGGCUAGGUUUAGAGGGGGUGAAAUUUUUAGAUUGAGUUUUGAACAUUGUGUCCACGUGGUGAAUCAUCCCUCCGGGGACGGCGCUGCUAUUUAUCAAAUAAAGUGAUGAUUGCAUGAAGGUUCUUGUGUGAUCAAGGAUUAUCGUUCCAAGGUUAGAGGCAUGUUGUUCAUCUUCACGUUGCUUGCUGGAUUCGUUUCCUCAUCUUCAAGUUGCGUGGAUUGAUCACGCGAUUAGAAAGUUUGCUAUCUAAUUGUCUUGCGGUGAAAGAUCGGACAAAAACUAUAGGAUCAUCACGUUGAUCCUUAUCACUUAACUAGUGGUUGUGUGGUACCUAGAUUGGCCAAAUACAAAUGUGGAUGAGCUCAUUCAAUGUCUCUGAUUACUGGUCUGUUUCUGCACAUUAGCAGGUUUUCCUGUCCCAAUUCAAAUAAAAUUCAACAGUUUUAUCUUUGGUCGAAUAAAACACAGCUUUUCUACAAACCGUCAGUUUCCUUACCCUAUUCGCAAAAAAAAAGUUUCCUUAUCCAUCUAUGAAGAUUUUCUAGCCCUAGUCAAUGUUCCACUGCAAUCCCAAUUCAAAUGUAAUCUCACAACUUUAUCUUGGUUCGAAUAAAACACAGAGCUUUUCUACAAAUGGUCAGUUUCCUUCUCUAUCUGUGAAGAUUUUCUAGCCCUCGCCAAUGUUCCUUUGUAAUAUUUUGGGGUCUGAGGCCAUAUAUCUAUGCAGAAGAAUUUUUCAGCAAUGCUUCGUGCUUAGGUCCUAAAAAUCUGUGAUCAAUCAUAUAUCUUUGCAAGAUGUAUAUAUACACAUUGAAAGAGCAGUGUCCCUAAGUACCGCCCAUCUUCCUUGUUUGCUUCUUCACUUGCAUGAUCAAAAUGCUUCACAUAAACAAUUUCCUUUUUUCCUAUAUCCCUAUGUCUGGCAGAUGGUGAUCAGCAGUUGCAGACACCAAAAUGCUGGUUAACUCCCAGAUGUGCCGCAGCAUGAUAGUGGCAUGGCAUCGCCAUGGAGUAUAGGAAUGCGGCCUCCAUUUCUGCAGAGGCGCUUCUCCUGAGCAAGCACAGGGCGUACUCCAUCACCGAUGCGUCACAUGGCAGCGUGAUUCUGCGACUGUCAACGCCUGUGAAGCCAAACUCCUCUUGGGACAUCCUAAAGAGCUCGCCGAAGACUGUCGUACCGAGGAACGCAAGCGGCACCUCAAAUCUCACGCCGUCAGCAGUGUACACGAUGCAGUGGCCCUUGCCGUCCACUGAGAAGCAUGAUGUGCUGCAAGACCCUUUGGUUUCUUCCGCAGACGUUGAUGACAACCCGGUGAGCCUCUUCCUCCUCAUAGCAACCACCUUCUGCCACUUCUUGGCCAGCCGAGCGAAUGUCUAGGGGGCAAAGGUAGUGGACUAGUGGCUAGGCAACCAGAUGCAUACUACUGUUCUUGCUGCUGAACUGGGCAGAGGUAUUGAACAUACUACUGUUUUUGCCGAGCGCUCUCUUUCCCCUUUUUCUCUCCCUCGUGCUCUCCUUUCCUCGCCGCCGCCACUCCAUCCUAGCUGCCUCCUCUCCUCGUCGAACCAGCUGCCUCCUCCCCAUCUUCACGCGCAGCCUCCUCUCCCUCAAGCCCCGCCUCCUUCCCACCCUGGCUUCGCCUCUUCGGGGGGCGGGACGCAGUGGCUGUGGUGAUGGCAGAUGGGGCGACAACGGCGGCGCUCCUCCUCUCCCAUGGCGGUCGGCGGCGCUUUGGCCGUGGAGGCCUGCUCCUCAUGCUCCUCUGAUAUGCCUCUUCGCCCCUGCCGAGGACGGCGGUGAGGGGCAAAGGGACGCUGUCGUUCUCCCCCCUCAGCGCGUGCGUCAGAGACGGACGAGGAAGCCGAGCAGUCCGUCAUGCCGUCGACGCCGUCCUCUCCUACCAAGGUCUGGAUUCUCCUCCCCCUUCCCUCAUGGCGGCGCCUGGAUCCUCCUCCCUCUUCGCUUCCAUGGCGGCACCCGGACCUGCCGCAUCUUCCUCAUCGUCAGUCCAAGGGAGAGGAGUGGCAGCAGCCAGACACGCCUCGUCCGUGUCGCGUGGUGUCCCAGAUGCGUCCGCCCCGUGCUCUGCCGAUGCCUGUCUCACCCGUCUACGGCCGAAGGAGGGGAGGACUGGAUGCCAACCGAUCUGGAGGAAGAAGCGGACACCCGGACGAAAUCGACGGCGAGAUGCUUGGUGACAUCCCUGGAUAGGCUUCGUGGUGGAGGGCGCUUCGUGGUGGAGGGCACGGCCUCCGCUGCCGGGUGCAUUAUGAGGCACUCGAGGGGUAGGGUCGCUUGCAGCGCAGGUGCCCGUCGUGUGUCCCAGCGGGGCACUUGAUGCAGCUGCAGCAGGCCGGCAAGUUUGGCUGAUUUCAACACUCAAGGUGAGCUUCGCCCAGUCCUUCUUCCCCUCCCUCUCUCUUUCUGCAACUCUGGAAGCUUGUGCAAUGUGCUCUGCUUCCAUCUCUUUUUUUUGUUAAAUGAAUCUCAGAGAGCAUGGUCUUUAUGCUAGCAUUACUGUCAAGGACCUCACCUUCCUAUUGAAUUGCUUAUGUUUGUACAGCAUGGAUUUUUCAAAAUUAGUUGCUUACAUUGUGAAUAAUUCUAUUAACUUUUAGUUGAAAAGAAUCUGCCAGUGUUAAGAGUUCUUUCUGAUGUUGCAUGAUGUUCUGAUUUUGAACUUGAACGUGCUAACUGAAUUUUGCAGUGCAAACUGAACUUUUCAAAUUAACNNNNNNNNNNNNNNNNNNNNNNNNNNNNNNNNNNNNNNNNNNNNNNNNNNNNNNNNNNNNNNNNNNNNNNNNNNNNNNNNNNNNNNNNNNNNNNNNNNNNAGGAAGUUUUCCCAUUCUUUUUUCCUUUUCCAUUUGGGUAAGGCCUAUAUAUAUAGUGUUACCUUAGUGGCAAAUUUGUAUGGUAUUUUUAUUGCUUCUUUGCUGGAUCACGGAUCACAUUCAGAAUAUCAAUUUGUAGCCUAGCUUCAAACACUUGCUUACAAUGUCUUUCUCUUUGUGACCAGUCCGCCGUGAUGGAAAACGUUAAUAUUCCAACAAAAGUGCUUCCGGAUGCUACGAUGAGAGAGCUUGGCCUUCCAAGCGCAGCUUACUCAACACACAAGGCAAGGACCUCGAGGCAAGUGUUUAAUUCUAUCCAUUGAGUACCAGCUAAAUAAUGAACUUGCAAAGACAUUAAUAUCCAUCUAUGUCUAUGAAACUGGAUGAGUCUGAAGAUUGGCUGGCAGACGAACCUCUUAAAUACAUGGAAGCCUCUUACAACAAAGUGCUGCAAGACAUCAACUAUGAUAAGUUGCAGUUGGUUCAACAAAAAGUAAAUCUCUGGAACACGAGCUGAAAGAAAAAGAUGGAAUCAUAGACUAUCUGAGCAGCAGCUGGUGGAUGAUGUCUAUGGAAGGCAUUUCUGCUUUUGCCAAUUACAACCCGCCGAAACACACCCACCAUGAAGAGCAGCUUAGAUGAUGAGGUCAUUUUCGACACGGCUGGUACAGGCUCUACCUGAUCUAAAUACUGCAUAUCUUAGUUACCAUAAGCUAGGUGACCAAAGCUAUCUAUAUGAUGCAUGUCUGUCUAUCAGCUAAUCUCAUCCCUUUCUUUUGGCCUAUGUUCUUAUUUGACAAAGCUGAAGGAAGCACGUCCAGAUUAGUUCUCUGGAUGGUGAGGUUAGAUUAAUUGACCACUAUUUCUAUUUAACUUCUCCUGUACACAAUAUUCACAAGUUCAUGUAUUAAGUACAUUUUAUUGUGUCACUUGUGUUUACUCCUUUUUUAAUGCAAGUUUACAGCUACUCGGAGUUCCUAAUUGCAGACUCAACUAUCUUGACCUACCGAUGAUCUAAUUUGUGGCAUUAAUUAUUACCUUAAGAAAAUAUUUGCAUUUAAUUUCACUUAUAUAUAGGGGUAUAAGUUCUUACCAAAUGUACUCAAAUAUACAAUUACUGAAAAAAUGCAAAUAUUUUCAACACGAACAUGGUUUUAAACGGGUCUUUGCGCCAUUUGGCGCAACUGGUCAUCUAGUAGAGCAAACCAUCCAGGGUCCCUUCGGUGCAGUAAUCAUCUCUGAAUAGGUGAGUACAGCUUCAGCUUCAGCUGCAUGCUAGGUGUUUGUUGUUUGCUUUAGCAGUGCUUUGGUUGCUGCAAAUCUAGCAAGUUGCCUGACAGCUCCAUAUCUCAUCGUCUGCAUGAUCUUCAGCAUCGCAUGUGACAGCCAUUCCUGGUAUCUCCAUUGCAUUUUCCUAUGGGCCAACCAGUUGGUAACCAUCAGGGCCAGAAUGGCAUCAGGUCCAUCUCUAUGGAGCUGUCACUAGUUCAUGUCACUAUUUUUGUUUUCUGGUGGCUUUUGUUCAUGGACUGCAGUAAUGUAAGUUGCAGCGCAGGGCUCACUUUGUUAGUACCUGAAGUUUACUUGUAUUGUCCAUGACAGUGACUUAAUGAUGAGGGCAUCUCAGUACCUCAUGUUGUUCCCAUGAAGGAGGAGGUGAAGCCCAACUUCAGGACUCCUCCAAGUUAGAGGUGUGCCAAAGGGGGUGACCGAACCAUGUACUUGGUCGGUUCUAGUUUUAUCUAUUUUUAUUUCCAAGUCUUGUUAUGGGCCACUUAGGAUUUUUAUUUUGUGUAUUUCGGUGUGGGCCUGUCCAACCGAUUAGUUUUCUAGAUGCCUAUAUAAGGAGGCUAGUGGCUAGGUUUAGAGGGGGUGAAAUUUUUAGAUUGAGUUUUGAACAUUGUGUCCACGUGGUGAAUCAUCCCUCCGGGGACGGCGCUGCUAUUUAUCAAAUAAAGUGAUGAUUGCAU
rnacentral:lncRNA from 1 species